rnacentral:rRNA from 1 species
UACGUAGGCAGCGAGCGUUGUUCGGAAUUACUGGGCGUAAAGAGUGUGUAGGCGGUGCUCCCAGUCUGUUGUGAAAUCUCCCGGCUUAACUGGGAGGGUGCAGCGGAAACUAGAGUGCUAGAGGGUGGGAGAGGUAAGCGGAAUUCCCGGUGUAGUGGUGGAAUGCGUAGAUAUCGGGAGGAACACCAGUGGCGAAGGCGGCUUCCUGGACCGGUUCUGACACUGAGGAGCGAAAGCGUGGGGAGCGAUCCGG